rnacentral:rRNA from 1 species
UAAGACGAACCGUGCGAACGUUGUUCGGAAUCACUGGGCUUAAAGGGCGCGUAGGCGGGGCUCCAAGUCCGGGGUGAAAGCCCCCAGCUCAACUGGGGAAGCGCCUUGGAUACUGGGGCCCUCGAGGGGGGUAGGGGCGUGCGGAACUUCCGGUGGAGCGGUGAAAUGCGUAGAUAUCGGAAGGAACACCGGUGGCGAAAGCGGCGCGCUGGACCCCUUCUGACGCUGAGGCGCGAAAGCCAGGGGAGCAAACGGGAUUAGAUACCCCGGUAGUCCUGGCCCUAAACGUUGGGCACUAGGUUGUGGGCUUACAUGGGCUCACAGCCGGAGCAAAAGUGUUAAGUGCCCCGCCUGGGGAGUAUGGUCGCAAGGCUG